AAAAAACAUAAACAUGAGAAAUAUGUACAUAUGUGUCAAAGUAAGCUGCCAAACAAAACGAUAAUUGGCAGAGUUUGGUGAAAUUUUGAGGUAAAGUACCCGCAAAGAAACACAUAUUUGCAAUCAAAAGCAAAAAGCAAUCAGUGUGCCUAGUAUUGCUGGAAGAUUGGUGGCCAAAUGUAGUUUCCUCAGCUUCAAUGUGUACAUAUUUAAAGGCUUUUGGCAGGGUUACGUGAUAGCGAAAUUCGUGGCAUCUUUAUUUAAUGUAACCACAAACGCUGGAGACGUACAUAUGUAUGUGCAUGUUACCGGAAGAACCUUUGCGGGUAUACAAAACAAGGGGCAGUGUCUACUGUGUAAACAAAAAGAGCACCAUCUGGCCAAGACAACAUUAUCGCGCUUGUCUACUGAAUUUUUCUGAUCACCUAGUCGACUUUUGUCUUAUUACCAAAACUGGAGACUUUGCUAAAGCGCCAUAAGCUAAUGUACUGCUUAUUCAAAUGUGCUAAGUACUCCAAAUUUUAAAUCCUUUUAAAUAUAAGUUGCUUGUGCUUAUAAGUUGUAAAUGCCACUAAAUCAGAUUGUAAAUAAAAUUGCUUACUCGGCCUUGUAUAUUAAUUAUAGAACCGAAAUACAUUUUUGCAGCGGCCAUGCCCUUUGUUGUUA